rnacentral:misc_RNA from 1 species
GAUGAAGAACGCAGCGAAAUGCGAUAAGUAAUGUGAAUUGCAGAAUUCAGUGAAUCAUCGAAUCUUUGAACGCACAUUGCGCCCGCCAGUAUUCUGGCGGGCAUGCCUGUUCGAGCGUCAUUUCAACCAUCAAGCCCUGCUUGCGUUGGGGUCCUGCGGCUGCCCGCAGGCCCUGAAAACCAGUGGCGGGCUCGCUAGUCACACCGAGCGCAGUAGGGAGUAAACUCGAACGCUCCGGCGGCCGUGGCGCGGUUAUUCCUUCCGCCUUGUAGCGCUAAUGGCGCCACCCCCCAAUAAGUUGACCUCGGAUCAGGUAGGACUACCCGCUGAACUUAAGCAUAUCAAUAAGCGGAGGA